rnacentral:lncRNA from 1 species
AGAAACAGGCAGCCUGACUAGAGAACAAACUACCAAUUAACGAGCGAGGAAACAGGGCCAGAGAAUUGGAACAAAAUACAAGGCUGCCUCUGAAAGGAAUAUCUUUGUGCUGAUGUGUCCAUCAAGAGAACAUACACAGAAGUGACACUUGCCAGUAAUUUGCAAGCAGAUGGAACUUCAAUAUGGCAAUAGAGAAAGAAUCAAUUAGACCAGAGUCUCCUCAGGAAGACUUUCUAUAGGUGGACGGUCCCCUGGAGAGCCCGCUGUGUUGGAAGAUGUAGAAUAUUCAUAUAUCUGGUGAGCAUCUGCUAGAUGCCAGGGUUGGGGAGAGUCAAGUUGAAGCAAGCAUGAACCCUCAAGGACCUACCAUUUCAAGGCAAGAAAUAGAUACAAAUACAGCGUAAUUAUCUCUCCAAUUAAAGAGCAACCAAGGGACAACUGAACUGGAGGUUCUGCAGAAUUACAACUAAGCACGCAGCCGAGGAAUCUACUCAGCUUUGAUCUCUUAUCGCUCUGCACACACAGCCCUUUCUCUGUAAGGCUAGCUGCUCUCAGCAUCACUGUGUCUAAUCAAACGUGUCACACCUCCACUGAGAAAAUAUUUACUGGAUAGCUACUAGACAUAAGGAUGCAGAAAUGAAUUAGAAAAAUUCCUCGCCCUUGUUCAAAGCUAUGCUGGCUCUUAGAACAUCUGAGCCCCCACUGUUUCAUCUUUAGAGGAUCCCAGCUGCUGGGGUGUGAGGCCAGUGCUGGAGCCAGCAGUCUCUGACCCAGAAGGGACCUGAGGUGCUAAAGAAAAGUCAUAAGACCCUAAUUCCAGAGGGCCCUACCCUAUAACCAGAAGGAAGAACUAUUGCACAGAGAAUCUAAGAAGAAUCUAGACAGACAGCCCUUGCUGGAUUUCUCCACUCUGUUAGCAUUCGAUCAUUUGCCUUUUGUCCAGUCAUAUUUCUGCAUGGCUGUCCAUACUUUGUUGAACCUAAGCACAAAAUGGAAAGUUUUCCCUGUAUCUUUGGGUCGUCAUUCUGAAGGCUCCCAUGUUAUGUAAAACUAUGAUCAAAUAAAUAUGCAUGCCUUUUCUCCUAUAA